GACGAACGCUGGCGGCGUGCUUAACACAUGCAAGUCGAACGGAAAGGCCCUGAUUUUGUGGGGUGCUCGAGUGGCGAACGGGUGAGUAACACGUGAGUAACCUGCCCUUGACUUUGGGAUAACUUCAGGAAAGUGGGGCUAAUACAGGACAGGAGCCCCUGCUGCAUGGAGGGGGUUGGAAAGUUUCGGCGGUUGGGGAUGGACUCGCGGCUUAUCAGCUUGUUGGUGGGGUAGUGGCUGACCAAGGCUUUGACGGGUAGCCGGCCUGGGAGGGUGACCGGCCACAUUGGUACUGAGGUACGGACCAGUCUCCUACAGUGGGCAGAGGUGGGGAGUAUUGCACAAUGGGCGGAAGCCUGUUGCAGCAGCGCCGCGUGCGUGAUGACGGCCUGCUGGUUGUAAACCGCUUUCGCCUGUGACGAAGCGUUAGUGACGGUAAUGGGUGAAGAAGCACCGGCUAACUACGUG
rnacentral:rRNA from 1 species